rnacentral:tRNA from 1 species
GUGAUCGUAGCUCAGUUGGUCAGAGCGCCAGGUUGUGGCCCCGGAGGUCGGGGUUCAAGUCCCCUCGGUCACC